rnacentral:rRNA from 1 species
AUUCCAGCUCCAAUAGCGUAUAUUAAAGUUGUUGCAGUUAAAAAGCUCGUAGCUGGAUUUCUGCCAGGGUGCCAAUGUCCGCCGAAGUGCGUGCGCAGCGGCGCCCUCGCAUCCUUCUGUUAACGCCUCUCGGCAUUUACUUGCCGGUGGUGGGCUCAGAUAAUUUACCUUGAGAAAAUUAGAGUGUUUCAGGCAGGCUAGGCCGGAAUACAUUAGCAUGGAAUAAUGGAAUAGGACUACGGUCUCGUUGUUGGUUUGAGGGGCUGGAGUAAUGAUUAAUAGGGAUAGUUGGGGGCAUUAGUAUUUAAUUGUCAGAGGUGAAAUUCUCAGAUUUGUUAAAGACUAACUUAUGCGAAAGCAUUUGCCAAGGAUGUUUUCAUUA